rnacentral:misc_RNA from 1 species
GCUUCUCCAAGAGAAUCAAAACACAAUGAUCAGAUCGACAACAAUACACAAUUUGAUAGGCGGAAUUUAGAAAGGGAUUUUCCGGGAGGGAUAAUGUCAAUUGCCAAAAAUUCAUCCACCUCCAUUCCUGAACGAAGAAACUUAGGGGAUAGAAGCCAGAGUUUGAGCUUAGUUAAGAGCAAGGUAUCUCUUGCUCACGUAAUUCAGCAGGCAGAAGGAUGCACA